CAGCUGAUUAACUUCGCUCUCCUCUCACCAAGAAAACCCUAACUACGUAUUUCCUCCAAAUCCGAUAAAUUUAGCCCUAAUCCAAAAUCUCGUGUAAAUAUUCUUACCCUUUGAUCGCUGACGAUAAAAAUAAAUGGAUCACGAGAUGGAGAACGGCCAAGAUGUUCGCCAGGACGGCGGAGACGGCGAAAUUGAGGGUUUUAGAUGCGCCCAUUGUGGUGUUAGCGCUAAGUCUACUCAUAUGCGUCGUGGCCCUGAAGGACGAAGAACCUUAUGCAAUGCAUGUGGAAUUGCAUGGAGAAAGGGAAAACUGAGAAAAAUAAUUGAGUCCAAUGCUUCCACAGAAGAUGGAAGGAACUCAGUUGUGGCGCCUGAAGUGGGCAUGGAAUUUGAAGAUGAAAGCAAGGCAUAUGAAUUCUACAACACAUAUGCUGGAAUAGUUGGUUUCAGUGUGCGAAAGAGUCGGACAGUUCGUAGUGCUGGAAAUGUCGUUAGAUCAAAAACAAUUGUAUGCUCCAAACAAGGCUUUCGUGAAGAUAGAAAAGGAGCAAAGGAAGUGAAAAAACCAAGGGCAGAAACAAGAAUCGGUUGCCCUGCUCGUCUGGUCAUUAAACUUACACCAAAUGGGAAAUAUCAUGUGGCUGAGUUUGUGCCUGAUCACAACCAUCAGCUUGCUCCUCCUUCAGCAACACACUUGUUAAGAUCACAAAGGAUAUUAACUGAGGUUCAAGCUACUGAAGGGGAACUGGAGGUGGCCAAUGAGUCUCUGGGUACAAAUUUGGGUGGUUUCAGAAAUAUCAGCUUCCUUCCAUCAGAUUAUAAAAUUUCUUUGAGAACAAAGAGAAUGAAUUCCAUGCAUCCAGGAGAUGCUGAAUCUGUGUUCAAAUACCUACAGAGUAUGCAACUUGAUGACCAAGCUUUCUUUUAUGCCAUACAGUUUGAUGUGGAUGAUAAAAUGACCAACAUUUUUUGGGCAGAUGCUAUGUCAGUGAGGGACUUUAGCUACUUUGGUGAUGUGGUUUGUUUGGAUAUGACAUUUAAAGUCAAUGGAUAUGGUAGACCAUUUGCACCCUUUAUUGGAGUAAAUCAUCACAAACAAGCUAUAAUUUUGGGUGCAGCAUUGCUAUAUGAUGAAACCGUGGAAUCCUUCAAAUGGUUAUUUAGCACUUUUAAGAUUGCAAUGCAUGGUAAACAACCGAAGGCUAUUCUCACAGACCAAUCUGUGGCAUUGAGGGAAGCAUUAAGUGCUGUAUGGCCAGGCACAAGUCAUCAUCAUUGUGUAUGGCAAAUUUAUCAAAAUUCUAUCAGCCACCUAAGUAAUAUCUUUCAAAGCUCGAAAACUUUUGGAAAGGAUCUUAGCAGAUGUUUAUACGACUACGAGGAUGAAGAUGAGUUUCUAUUAGCAUGGGAAGCAAUGUUAAAUAAGUAUGAACUUGGAAAUAGUGAAUGGUUGACAAAACUUCUUGAAGACAGACAGAACUGGGCUUCUGCAUAUGGACAGAGAAUAUUUUGUGCAGACAUAAAUAGUACGUUGAAAAGCGAAAGCUUGUGUAGUGAGCUAAAGAAGCACUUGAACUCACAAUUAGAUCUUUUAUCUUUCUUUAAGCAUUAUGAGAGGCUACUGGAUGAGCAACGUUAUGCAGAACUACAAGCUGAUUUCCAUUCCAGUCAAAGUUUUCCUAGAACGCCUCCGUCAAAGAUAUUGAAGCAAGCUGCCUCUAUGUAUACACCUAUAGUAUAUGAAAUGUUCCGGAAGGAGUUUGAGGUAUUCUUGAAUUCUACCUCGUAUAAUUGUGGUGAGAAUGGGGCAAUUAGUGAAUACAAGAUUGUUGUCAGUGAGAAUCCUAAAGAACAUUAUGUUAGGUUUGAUUCCUCUGAUAUGUCUGUUGCUUGCAAUUGCAAAAAAUUUGAGUGUGUAGGAAUUCAGUGUGGCCAUGUAAUCAAAGUACUUGAUGUUAGAAACAUCAAAGAACUGCCUGAAAGUUACUUUUUGAGGAGGUGGAGGAAAAAUGCCAAAUCUGAGACUACAUCUGCAAUCCAUGGUAAUCUUAAGUCUACCACACUUGCCUCAGAGCAUGUUCCCAAUGGCAAUUGAUGCUCGUAAAGGUUUUAAAGCAUGCUUCGGCUCAGUUGGGUGAAAUUGGUUCCAGUGUCACAGUCAAGAUUAUUCUUUUCAAAAUCCCAUGUUCAAUUGUAAAGAUUCAUAGAUUCCACGCGCAGUAUUCUAGAUUUGCAAUUGUGAUGAUUUUGAGGAAUUUGUAGUUGACCUUGUCAGCCUUUGGUGCAAAGGAAUUCAGAUCAGCAUGCUGAGAUCUUAAUGGUGAUGAGCAUUUCAAUCUUCUUUUGGUACUGUAUUCAGAAGAUAGUUAUUGGUAAUGUAUAUGUAUUUUGCGUGUUUUGAUGUAAAAAAAUUCAACUUUUCAGGACACGAGUUACAUUCGAAGUUCUUCUUGUAAUACUUUUGCAGCUAUAUUGUUUUGAAAUGCAUAGGAGAUGCGGGAAUAUGCCAUGGAAAUCACAUAACUAGAGAACCAACUGGAGAUUUUUCAUGAAUCCAUGACCAUUAUAGCAAAGCAAGCUUUCCAGUAAAUUUUGGGUUAGUUUGGUAAUCCUCCCUUAAAUUGGUUUUGGCCUUAAAUUGGUUUUGGCCUGAACUGGUUUAGUUCCAGAAAACCUUAAUUGGAACCUUAACCGGUUUAGAUCUGGACCAACUACUAUCGAUGGGAGAACGUACUGGUUUAAGGGCCAAACUUUGAACCUAAAAAAAACUGGUUGAAUUCGCCCUGUUUUUUUUUUUUCAAACAUAAUUUCUAGGUGAAUGGACAUGGCCAGUGGUCGAGUUGACAUGCAGGCCCUAUAUGCUGAAGAGACAAUGUUUGACUUUGAUCCCAUGGCUAAUGUUCUGAGAUUGAGAGUUACAGUAAUUAUUGACUACCAGAAUAUCACGAAGGCUUUCAUGCCUGCAGGAAAAUGGAGGGGUGAAAAAAACAAGAAACGAUGUAAAGGGACCAUGAGAGGGAGGUGGUAUGGUAGAUUCAGAGGAAUUUCAUAAAUGCCAUGGUUAUUUGUUCAUGUUAAUGUAAUUACCUGGUAAUUUUCUCCUUUUACUAGCAAAAUGAGAAUUGAUAUCA